UUAAGCGACUAAGCGUACACGGUGGAUGCCCUGGCAGUCAGAGGCGAUGAAGGACGUGCUAAUCUGCGAAAAGCGUCGGUAAGGUGAUAUGAACCGUUAUAACCGGCGAUGUCCGAAUGGGGAAACCCAGUGCAAUUCGUUGCACUAUCGUUAACUGAAUACAUAGGUUAACGAGGCGAACCGGGGGAACUGAAACAUCUAAGUACCCCGAGGAAAAGAAAUCAACCGAGAUUCCCCCAGUAGCGGCGAGCGAACGGGGAGCAGCCCAGAGUCUGAAUCAGCUUGUGUGUUAGUGGAACGGUCUGGAAAGUCCGACGGUACAGGGUGAUAGUCCCGUACACCAAAAUGCACAGGUUGUGAACUCGAAGAGUAGGGCGGGACACGUGGUAUCCUGUCUGAAUAUGGGGGGACCAUCCUCCAAGGCUAAAUACUCCUGACUGACCGAUAGUGAACCAGUACCGUGAGGGAAAGGCGAAAAGAACCCCGGCGAGGGGAGUGAAAAAGAACCUGAAACCGUGUACGUACAAGCAGUGGGAGCACCUUCGGGUGUGACUGCGUACCUUUUGUAUAAUGGGUCAGCGACUUAUAUUCUGUAGCAAGGUUAACCGUAUAGGGGAGCCGCAGGGAAACCGAGUCUUAACUGGGCGUUAAGUUGCAGGGUAUAGACCCGAAACCCGGUGAUCUAGCCAUGGGCAGGUUGAAGGUUGGGUAACACUAACUGGAGGACCGAACCGACUAAUGUUGAAAAAUUAGCGGAUGACUUGUGGCUGGGGGUGAAAGGCCAAUCAAACCGGGAGAUAGCUGGUUCUCCCCGAAAGCUAUUUAGGUAGCGCCUCGUGAAUUCAUCUUCGGGGGUAGAGCACUGUUUCGGCUAGGGGGUCAUCCCGACUUACCAACCCGAUGCAAACUACGAAUACCGAAGAAUGUUAUCACGGGAGACACACGGCGGGUGCUAACGUCCGUCGUGAAGAGGGAAACAACCCAGACCGCCAGCUAAGGUCCCAAAGUCAUGGUUAAGUGGGAAACGAUGUGGGAAGGCACAGACAGCCAGGAUGUUGGCUUAGAAGCAGCCAUCAUUUAAAGAAAGCGUAAUAGCUCACUGGUCGAGUCGGCCUGCGCGGAAGAUGUAACGGGGCUAAACCAUGCACCGAAGCUGCGGCAGCGACACUAUGUGUUGUUGGGUAGGGGAGCGUUCUGUAAGCCUGCGAAGGUGWSCUGUGAGGSWUGCUGGAGGUAUCAGAAGUGCGAAUGCUGACAUAAGUAACGAUAAAGCGGGUGAAAAGCCCGCUCGCCGGAAGACCAAGGGUUCCUGUCCAACGUUAAUCGGGGCAGGGUGAGUCGACCCCUAAGGCGAGGCCGAAAGGCGUAGUCGAUGGGAAACAGGUUAAUAUUCCUGUACUUGGUGUUACUGCGAAGGGGGGACGGAGAAGGCUAUGUUAGCCGGGCGACGGUUGUCCCGGUUUAAGCAUGUAGGCUGRUUGUCCAGGCAAAUCCGGAUAAUCAAGGCUGAGGUGUGAUGACGAGGCACUACGGUGCUGAAGUAACAAAUGCCCUGCUUCCAGGAAAAGCCUCUAAGCAUCAGGUAACAUCAAAUCGUACCCCAAACCGACACAGGUGGUCAGGUAGAGAAUACCAAGGCGCUUGAGAGAACUCGGGUGAAGGAACUAGGCAAAAUGGUGCCGUAACUUCGGGAGAAGGCACGCUGGUGUGUAGGUGAAGYCCCUGCGGRUGGAGCUGAGACCAGUCGAAGAUACCAGCUGGCUGCAACUGUUUAUUAAAAACACAGCACUGUGCAAACACGAAAGUGGACGUAUACGGUGUGACGCCUGCCCGGUGCCGGAAGGUUAAUUGAUGGGGUUAUCCGUAAGGAGAAGCUCUUGAUCGAAGCCCCGGUAAACGGCGGCCGUAACUAUAACGGUCCUAAGGUAGCGAAAUUCCUUGUCGGGUAAGUUCCGACCUGCACGAAUGGCGUAAUGAUGGCCAGGCUGUCUCCACCCGAGACUCAGUGAAAUUGAACUCGCUGUGAAGAUGCAGUGUACCCGCGGCAAGACGGAAAGACCCCGUGAACCUUUACUAUAGCUUGACACUGAACAUUGAGCCUUGAUGUGUAGGAUAGGUGGGAGGCUUUGAAGCGUGGACGCCAGUCUGCGUGGAGCCAACCUUGAAAUACCACCCUUUAAUGUUUGAUGUUCUAACGUUGGCCCCUUACCGGGGUUGCGGACAGUGUCUGGUGGGUAGUUUGACUGGGGCGGUCUCCUCCCAAAGCGUAACGGAGGAGCACGAAGGUUAGCUAAUCCUGGUCGGACAUCAGGAGGUUAGUGCAAUGGCAUAAGCUAGCUUGACUGCGAGCGUGACGGCGCGAGCAGGUGCGAAAGCAGGUCAUAGUGAUCCGGUGGUUCUGAAUGGAAGGGCCAUCGCUCAACGGAUAAAAGGUACUCCGGGGAUAACAGGCUGAUACCGCCCAAGAGUUCAUAUCGACGGCGGUGUUUGGCACCUCGAUGUCGGCUCAUCACAUCCUGGGGCUGAAGUAGGUCCCAAGGGUAUGGCUGUUCGCCAUUUAAAGUGGUACGCGAGCUGGGUUUAGAACGUCGUGAGACAGUUCGGUCCCUAUCUGCCGUGGGCGCUGGAGAAUUGAGGGGGGCUGCUCCUAGUACGAGAGGACCGGAGUGGACGCAUCACUGGUGUUCGGGUUGUCAUGCCAAUGGCACUGCCCGGUAGCUAAAUGCGGAAGAGAUAAGUGCUGAAAGCAUCUAAGCACGAAACUUGCCCCGAGAUGAGUUCUCCCUGAGACUUUAAGUCUCCUGAAGGAACGUUGCGCCG
rnacentral:rRNA from 1 species